rnacentral:rRNA from 1 species
UGGCGAACGGGUGAGUAAUACGUGAGUAACCUGCCCUUGACUCUGGGAUAAGCCUGGGAAACUGGGUCUAAUACUGGAUACUACCUCUUACCGCAUGGUGGGUGGUGGAAAGGGUUUUACUGGUUUUGGAUGGGCUCACGGCCUAUCAGCUUGUUGGUGGGGUAAUGGCUCACCAAGGCGACGACGGGUAGCCGGCCUGAGAGGGUGACCGGCCACACUGGGACUGAGACACGGCCCAGACUCCUACGGGAGGCAGCAGUGGGGAAUAUUGCACAAUGGGCGGAAGCCUGAUGCAGCGACGCCGCGUGAGGGAUGACGGCCUUCGGGUUGUAAACCUCUUUCAGUAGGGAAGAAGCGAGAGUGACGGUACCUGCAGAAGAAGCGCCGGCUAACUACGUGCCAGCAGCCGCGGUAAUACGUAGGGCGCAAGCGUUGUCCGGAAUUAUUGGGCGUAAAGAGCUCGUAGGCGGUUUGUCGCGUCUGCUGUGAAAGCCCGGGGCUCAACCCCGGGUCUGCAGUGGGUACGGGCAGACUAGAGUGCAGUAGGGGAGACUGGAAUUCCUGGUGUAACGGUGAAAUGCGCAAAUAUCACGAGGAACA